UACGGAGGAUGCGAGCGUUAUCCGGAUUUAUUGGGUUUAAAGGGUGCGUAGGCGGCUUUUUAAGUCAGCAGUGAAAUUUUGCAGCUCAACUGUAAAAGUGCCUUCGAAACUGGUUUCCUUGAGUGUAGAUGAAGUAGGCGGAAUUUGUGGUGUAGCGGUGAAAUGCAUAGAUAUCACGAGGAACUCCGAUUGCGCAGGCAGCUUACUAAACUACUACUGACGCUCAGGCACGAAGGCGUGGGGAUCAAACAGGAUUAGAUACCCU
rnacentral:rRNA from 1 species